UCCUGGCUCAGGACGAACGCUGGCGGCGUGCCUAAUACAUGCAAGUAGAACGCUGAAGAGAGGAGCUUGCUCUUCUUGGAUGAGUUGCGAACGGGUGAGUAACGCGUAGGUAACCUGCCUUGUAGCGGGGGAUAACUAUUGGAAACGAUAGCUAAUACCGCAUAACAAUGGAUGACACAUGUCAUUUAUUUGAAAGGGGCAAUUGCUCCACUACAAGAUGGACCUGCGUUGUAUUAGCUAGUAGGUGAGGUAACGGCUCACCUAGGCGACGAUACAUAGCCGACCUGAGAGGGUGAUCGGCCACACUGGGACUGAGACACGGCCCAGACUCCUACGGGAGGCAGCAGUAGGGAAUCUUCGGCAAUGGGGGCAACCCUGACCGAGCAACGCCGCGUGAGUGAAGAAGGUUUUCGGAUCGUAAAGCUCUGUUGUAAGUCAAGAACGAGUGUGAGAGUGGAAAGUUCACACUGUGACGGUAGCUUACCAGAAAGGGACGGCUAACUACGUGCCAGCAGCCGCGGUAAUACGUAGGUCCCGAGCGUUGUCCGGAUUUAUUGGGCGUAAAGCGAGCGCAGGCGGUUUGAUAAGUCUGAAGUUAAAGGCUGUGGCUCAACCAUAGUUCGCUUUGGAAACUGUCAAACUUGAGUGCAGAAGGGGAGAGUGGAAUUCCAUGUGUAGCGGUGAAAUGCGUAGAUAUAUGGAGGAACACCGGUGGCGAAAGCGGCUCUCUGGUCUGUAACUGACGCUGAGGCUCGAAAGCGUGGGGAGCGAACAGGAUUAGAUACCCUGGUAGUCCACGCCGUAAACGAUGAGUGCUAGGUGUUGGAUCCUUUCCGGGAUUCAGUGCCGCAGCUAACGCAUUAAGCACUCCGCCUGGGGAGUACGACCGCAAGGUUGAAACUCAAAGGAAUUGACGGGGGCCCGCACAAGCGGUGGAGCAUGUGGUUUAAUUCGAAGCAACGCGAAGAACCUUACCAGGUCUUGACAUCCCGAUGCUAUUUCUAGAGAUAGAAAGUUACUUCGGUACAUCGGUGACAGGUGGUGCAUGGUUGUCGUCAGCUCGUGUCGUGAGAUGUUGGGUUAAGUCCCGCAACGAGCGCAACCCCUAUUGUUAGUUGCCAUCAUUCAGUUGGGCACUCUAGCGAGACUGCCGGUAAUAAACCGGA
rnacentral:rRNA from 1 species